UACGUAGGGGGCAAGCGUUGUCCGGAAUCAUUGGGCGUAAAGCGCGCGUAGGCGGCCUCGUAAGUCCGUUGUGAAAGUCAAAGGCUCAACCUUUGAAAGCCGAUGGAUACUGUGAGGCUAGAGUCCGGAAGAGGAGAGUGGAAUUCCUGGUGUAGCGGUGAAAUGCGCAGAUAUCAGGAAGAACACCCGUGGCUAAGGCGGCUCUCUAGUACGGUACUGACGCUGAGACGCGAAAGCGUGGGGAGCAAACAGG
rnacentral:rRNA from 1 species